GACGAACGCUGGCGGCGCGCCUAACACAUGCAAGUCGAACGAGAAUCACUUGAACAGAGGCUUCGGCCGACGGGAUGGUGAGGAAAGUGGCGAACGGGUGAGUAACGCGUGAGAAACCUGCCUUUCAGUGGGGGACAACAGUUGGAAACGACUGCUAAUACCGCAUGAUGUAUCGAGGGGGCAUCCCUUUGAUACCAAAGCUUUAUGUGCUGAAAGAUGGUCUCGCGUCUGAUUAGCUAGUUGGUGGGGUAACGGCCUACCAAGGCGACGAUCAGUAGCCGGCCUGAGAGGGUGAACGGCCACAUUGGGACUGAGACACGGCCCAAACUCCUACGGGAGGCAGCAGUGGGGAAUAUUGCGCAAUGGGGGCAACCCUGACGCAGCAACGCCGCGUGAAGGAAGAAGGUCUUCGGAUUGUAAACUUUUGUCUUCUGGGAAGAUAAUGACAGUACCAGGAGAGGAAGCUCCGGCUAACUACGUGCCAGCAGCCGCGGU
rnacentral:rRNA from 1 species